rnacentral:lncRNA from 1 species
UAAACACCUUUCUCUUUAAAUUUUCUUUUUCGUCAUAAUUAUCUCUUCAUUAGCAUCAUAGCGAUGACGUUGUUGGGACUGUUUGCUGUAGACGCCCUGAAGGCGAUAGGAUUUUCUUGCUUGUUGUAUAAUUUUUGUUGGUUGAGCUUCGCAUAAUUCAUAAUAUGCAAAAAAAUGGGCCUAGAAAGCAUGAUAUUAGGACUUCACCGUUAUCCUGAAACAUGAAGGUAUGAUAGCAAGUUUACUUAGUUGAGUCUAUGAAUUUAUAAUCGGUGAGUCUAUGAAUUUGUAAUUGAAAAAAUAUUAUCCUGCUAUUAUCUAAGAUUGAUAUCUUCCAUACUAUAUAGUUAGUCUCCUUUGUUGGUGUAAUCUACCUUUAAUAAGAAAAAUAGCUUCUUUUCUUUUAAUCUGCCAAAACAACUUUUUUUUUUUAAAAAUCUGCCAGUAGCCCAACAUAUAGGCAUAUUAAUCUCUGUUUCUUGUAAACUACAAAUGGUUGCCUUGCAAAUUAUGUGUUAGCAUAUUGAAUUAUCAGAAUCUUUGCUUAUGUUGGCUUGAAUUCAAGUGUAAACAUAUUAUGGUGUUUUAAGGUUCCACUCUUUGGUUUACUUGUUUUCUUGUCCAUUCAUAUGGUGUCUUGAUGAACAUAGGCUAUAUUAGACAUUAAUUAUUCAGUGUGAAGUUGAAUCGACUCAUCAAAUGAUUAUAUUGACAUCUCGAUCUUUGAAAAUAUGUGUUCAACUUUUUUUGUUUGGUUUUAAUCCUUUUCACAUACUAAUCUUUACCCUUUUAUAUGCAUGAACUCCCCCAUUGAGUCCCCCGGACUCCCAUCACUUGCAUUCCGUUGGGUUAAAUCUAACUUGCAUCGAGUCAAGAUCCGUACCAAGUCCAAAGUGGGACUAAUAAAUGAAGCAAAACGGACCAAUACCAAAGCUGUAUAUGCAGAUAUACAAUAGUAUACGGAGGAUAUAUGGUUGAAAGUUAGAGAGGAAAACUAGUGUGCAGGUGGAAAACCAAAAUAUGUAAAUGUAUAACUUAUGUACGAUCAUAUAUAUACCGUAUAUAUACGAAAAAUGCAAGGAAAAGGGCUGGUAUACUUUUGGUAUACAAUGCUGGAAAAUGGACCUAAAGUCCAUAAGAUUAAAAGCCCAAAGGUCGGCAAGCUAUUAAUGGGCUGAAAGGGGCCCAACUCCAACUCUUUAUUUUUAUUCUUUUAUUGACACCCAAAACCUCUCUAGCAGUCUCCUUAAUGCAACCCACAGCCUUAUCCCACAAGCUAUCUAUGUCUCCCCGACACUCCCACGCCCCCAUCCCUUCCAACUUCACCUCUAUCUCUAAAGCACUGGUCGGAGUCAGGCCACCCCACCUAACUCUAGGUCGACCCUCCCCACUCCUCCUUUUAUUGCCCAUCUUUAUAACCAAAUCCAUCGCCAGGAGUCUAUGUUGAGUUACAAGAUUCUCAUUCGGAAUAACCUUACAAUCCUUACACAAGGCUCUAUCCCCUUUCCUAAGCAACAAAAAGUCAAUCUGGGUCUUGGCUAACUUACUAUGGAAAGUAACCAAAUGCAUUUCUUUCUUCGGAAAGCUGGAGUUCACUACCACCAACACAAAGGCCCUCGCAAAAUCCAACAGAGCAGUACCCUCAUCAUUCCUAUCCCCAAAACCAAAGCCACCAUGCACAUCAUGUAACCAAUCGGCAAAUGCCCGAUGUGCCCAUUGAAGUCCCCUCCUAUGAGAAGCUUCUCCGAACUAAGCACGCCUCGGAUCACCUAGUCUAGGACCUCCCAAAACCUCCUCUUCUCCUCCUCACCCAGUCCUACCUGUGGCGCGUAAGCACUACAGACGUGCACCGUAAUUUGGUCAAUUUAUUAAAUUUGAUCUUAAUUGAAUCAACUUGGUCACAAUUGCAAUACAAUUGGCCAAUUGAUAUUCGCUUUGGUUAAAAUUUAAAUAAACUCGGCCGAAUUUUAAUCCAAUUUGAGCUAUUUUAUUAAAUUCUAAAUCUAUCCAAAACAACAACAACCAGCCCAUUGCAAAACCUGACCCGACCAGGCCCAUUAUUGAUUUCCCCUUCAACAAAUAACAACAGCCAUCAGCCUGGCCCAACAGGCCCAACACCAACCAGCCCAAAUAUCCCCUUAACCGGCCAAGAUUUUUUCUUCUCCCUUAACCUGAUCAAAUAUCAACAAUAGCUUUCAACAAAAACUGCUAGUCUGCAACUCCAAAAACAAUUAACAACAAUAAUAAUUUCAGCAAAACAACAACUUAGCGAUAUCAAGAACAACAACAGCCGCGUGACCCGACACCCAUCGAUCAGCCCGAUUUCGACCCGAAUUCGUCCAGCUUCAGUCAACGCGUACAACGGCUAAUACCAACGACAAACCCUCCAAAUCGUGGAAAAUCUCUCUUUUCAUCUUAUCUCUGCAAUUUUGCAGAGCUAGAGCCAUUGUUGUGGACUUUUGGCUCAAAAUUGUGUCUUCUAUUUUAAAAUUCAAUGCAAAUCAGAAGGGGUCAUGAAUUCGAACCCAAAUUUCAGGGGAUAUAUUUCUCCAUUUUAAUGAUGAAAAAUCAGUCUUCCCCUAUGAUUAGAGAUUGAGGGGAAGAAGAAAAGGAGGGGGGAAAAAGAAUUGGAGAAGAAAACGGAUUCAAAAACUCGAUCCCGAUAAAAAUUUGAACUCCUACGGAUCGGAGUCGAAAAUCCGAUGGUGGAAGCUUCGUCGUGGUAGGCUCUUUUGUCCCGAUUUGCUGCCCCUAAAAAGGUAAACACCUUUCUCUUUAAAUUUUCUUUUUCGUCAUAAUUAUCUCUUCAUUAGCAUCAUAGCGAUGACGUUGUUGGGACUGUUUGCUGUAGACGCCCUGAAGGCGAUAGGAUUUUCUUGCUUGUUGUAUAAUUUUUGUUGGUUGAGCUUCGCAUAAUUCAUAAUAUGCAAAAAAAUGGGCCUAGAAAGCAUGAUAUUAGGACUUCACCGUUAUCCUGAAACAUGAAGGUAUGAUAGCAAGUUUACUUAGUUGAGUCUAUGAAUUUAUAAUCGGUGAGUCUAUGAAUUUGUAAUUGAAAAAAUAUUAUCCUGCUAUUAUCUAAGAUUGAUAUCUUCCAUACUAUAUAGUUAGUCUCCUUUGUUGGUGUAAUCUACCUUUAAUAAGAAAAAUAGCUUCUUUUCUUUUAAUCUGCCAAAACAACUUUUUUUUUUUAAAAAUCUGCCAGUAGCCCAACAUAUAGGCAUAUUAAUCUCUGUUUCUUGUAAACUACAAAUGGUUGCCUUGCAAAUUAUGUGUUAGCAUAUU